rnacentral:lncRNA from 1 species
AAACUCACAAUUUUAUUAUGUCAAAAUAAUGUCACCCGUUUGCCAACUCAUAGUGGCAUCGGUAAUCAAAUAUACAUAAUUGACUUAUAAUAUGAAUCUUAGCAUAUUACAUUACAUAUAAGCGUUCACAGGUAACAGACCCUUGACCGUCAGCGGAGUGACCGUGGGUGAAUGUACAACUACUGAGAUGCCAUAAUACCUAUCAAGAAGGCGAGCAUACGUGGACAAUUCAAUCUAGGUCCCAACUGCCUCCAAAUCUGAAAACAUAAAGUUUAAAAACGUGAGUAUAAAACUCAGUGAUUGAACAUAAGAAGGGAACAAGCAAUCGAUAGAAGGAAUUUGGAAAUCAUGAUGCACUUGUUUCAAAAACAAUGCAAUUGAUUUAAUUUCUUACUAAAAACCCCUCAUUUCAAACUUUGAUCAGUAACCUCGUAGUGUUGUAAAAACCCAUGAUCAAUCAUAAAAUAUGAAGUUUAAUUUCUCGUACAAGCUUGACAUACAAUUUAAUGAAUAAACCAUAGAGUGUUUCUCUUACAAGCUUGAGCUAUAUAAACUAAAGAACAAAGUGAUUGACAAAUAAAUACAACACAUGAAAUAAAUCUAGGAAGUGUUGUUGUUCAUUGCUACACUACCAUAUUGGUUUCAUGUUGAUAAGAUUGAAUGAUAUAUGCAACUAUAGUUGGUGCUCUAUCUUCGUAGAUAUAGUUAGACUUGGCAAUUUGUGUUAACGUGUCAGACACGAUUAGAUAUGAAAUACGUUAAGGCUAAACACGAACAUGACACGUUUAAUGUUCGUGUCUUAAAUUUAAAACACAUACACGUAGACGUUUAAUACACGUGUAACACGAUACGACACGAUUAACACGUUUAUUAAAUGUAUCAAUAUACGACACGACACAAUUAAUAACACGUUUAACACGAUUAAUACGUUUAACAUGAUUAACACGUUUAACAUGGUUAACACGUUGAACAUGAUUAAAUAAAAAUAUUUACAAUUAAAUAUAGUUUUAUUAUUUAAAUUUAAAAUCUAUAAUUAUAAAAAUAAUUAUAAUAAAAUAAAAAUAAUAAUAACAUCAAAUAAUCACCAAAAGUUAAAAGUUAGGGUUGAGCAUGUAUAAUUACAUUAUACCCUUUAUAAAUUUAAAAAAACUUAUUAAAAUAAUUAUUUAAAAUUAUUUAUAUAAGGUUAAAAUUGUCACGACCCGGUACUCUCCUCUAGCCCGUGACAACCGUCGAGAUGUCCCGAUAGACAUUCAUUAUCUGGAAUGCCAACCGAAAUCUCGCAAGGUUUUAAUAUAAGUUUUUCCACCUCCCUUGCGAGCAACAGUUGUUAGUGUCAUAUUUUAAAAGAUUAUAAGCUAUUUCCAAACCAAAAUAAUAAAAAAAUAAUUUUCAUCUCUCGGUGGGUAUUUUAGUCAUUUUUCUCCAAAAAUUUCGAAACCAACUAAUAAUAUAGUAUGUGAGUGCAAAACACAUAUUUCAUAAUAAAAAAUAAGUUUAGAUGUUUAAAACAUUCAUUUAAAGUGAAAUUAUAACUAUUUGAAUAUAAUAAAAAUAUUUAAUAAAAUAUUUUAUUUUUUUAUAAAACAAUUUUUAUAGAGUUAUUUGUAAGAAAUUUUUAUUGCGUAAAAGUGAAAUAAAUUCAUACAUACUGUAAUAUAAAUAGUCAAGGUAUGUAAUUAAAUUUACAAUGACACGUGGGCCCCCAAAUGACAAAAGUGAACGAAGGCUGUGAACCUACAAUUUUUGAGGAAGUAAAGUCAACUGUAGCCUUCGACGAUAUCAGCUAUCUACAAACUAUCCUGAGCUUGAAAUAGGUGGAAAGGAAGGUGAUGAGAUUAUAUAAUCCUAGUGAGUAAACGAAUAUCAUCUAAAAUAUCUAAAGCCGAGUAAAUGGAGACGAUUAAAAUAGAUCAUCAUGAAAUGGUUCAUAACAUCAAAACACAUUUCAAAUCAUCUAAGCCAGAUACAUUUCAUCCAAAAUAUACAAUGAGGCUUAUGAAUCUCUUAAAAACUUGGCUCGUGCCAAAACUCAUUCUCGGGGAUACCUUGGCCAAGGCAUCUAACCGAGUCCGUCAAGGUUGUUAAGAAGUCGUAUACACACAAAACACAUUUUUACAUUUAAAAGCACAGCCGUUCCUUGGUGUUGGCUGAAUUCACUCUCACGUGGUGGUUUGACGUGAAGUGAACUCUAAACUUUACCCCAAGAGAUACCCUACGCUUCUCCAACCGAGGUAAGAAUAUAACUAGAUUUCGUGCCCCUCUAAUAGACUGGCCCGCAGAACCCGCCACUGCAGUGACCAAUCUAUAACCCACCAAUUCAAUAAAAAUUCAACAGCAUGACAUGUCAAUUUUAUCAUUAUCCAGCCUAUCAAGGCAAACAACAGUUUAUACAUUUUCAACACAAAUACCCAUCCAGCCAUUCAUGCUUACAUUAUCAUAAGCCAUUUCAAUUCAAAACAUAAUUUACAAUAUAGCAAGUAGUCUUCAAUUAUUCCAUUUUCAAGUCAUCAUUAAAUUUCAAAACAAUUUAUAAAAUCAUUUCAUUUAAACACAUUUUUCAUAAAAUUACAAAAUCGGAUAAAAACAUACUUUAGAUAAUUAAGACGAUAAUAAGGUUACUCACUAUUUCGGGAGUCGAAUUUUUAGAGUACUCCGACUAUCGAUCCUCGGGUACAAUUUCUUUGCCCUUAUCAGAAGAUUCACCACCU